GAUAGCCAUGCAUGUGCAAGUGCAAGCCCUUUUAGCACGGUAGAAACUGCGAAUGGCUCAUUAAAUCAGUUAUGGUUGCUUGGAAAGCGAACUUUGCUUAGUUGGAUAGCUGUGGCAAUUCUAGAGCUAAUACAUGCCUCGAAGCUUCGAUUGGUGGGCUUGCUCACCAAGAGAAGCGCUUUUAUUAGAUCAAAGCCGACACUUGAACCGUGUGGUGACUCUGGAUAACUUUGUGCCGAUCGCAUCAGUCCUCGUGACUGGCGACGUAUCCUUCAAGUGUCUGACCUAUCAAGUUUCGAUGGUGAGAGCUGUGCCCACCAUGCUGUUGACGGGUAACGGGGAAUCAGGGUUCGAUUCCGGAGAGGGAGCCUGCGAAACGGCUACCACAUCCAAGGAAGGCAGCAGGNGCGCAAAUUACCCAUUGCUCACCUGAGCGAGGUAGUGACGAGAAAUAACAAUAUCGCGGCCCUAAGUGGUUGUGAUAAUUGGAAUGAGCACACUUUAAAUCCUUUGAAUCGAGGAUCUACUGGAGGGCAAGUCUGGUGCCAGCAGCCGCGGUAAUUCCAGCUCCAGCAGCGUAUACUAGAGUUGUUGCAGUUAAAAAGCUCGUAGUUGGAGUUCGACCCGUGGGGGUGGUUCUGUUUCGCGACAGUUUAACUGCUUUCAUUUGUCCCACGGGGAUGUCGCCGGUGUGUGUGCAAGCACAUGGUGGGUUGGCUUUUUACGUGGCGCAAGUUGCGUGAGGGGUUGAUCUGCCACUGAGCCGAUGCUCUUAAUCGAGUGUCGCUCGGGGCCGGCCGUGUUACUUUGAAAAAAUUAGAGUGUUCAAGGCAGGCUUUUCAAGCCUGAAUACAGCAGCAUGGAAUAACGAA
rnacentral:rRNA from 1 species